AUGAAAACACUUCUGGGGCUGUUCAUGUUACUGUCAUAUUUCUCAGGAGUGCUUUCUGAUGUCCAACUUCUGCAGUCAGAUUCUGUGGUGAUAAAGCCAGGAGGCUCUCACACAAUUUCAUGUACAGCCUCUGGAUUCACUUUCAGCAGCUAUUACAUGAACUGGGUUAGACAGGCACCUGGUAAAGGAUUACAGUGGGUAGCUCAAAUUAGCAAUGAUGGGGGUUCUACAUGGUAUGAUGAU